AUGAAGAUGCCCGUUAGACUGUUGGUGCUGCUGUUGUUCAGGAUUUCUGCUUCCAGGGGGGAUGUUGUGAUGACUCAAACUCCACCCUCAUUGCCUGUCAACCUUGGAGAUCAAGCCUCUAUCUCUUGCAAGUCUAGUCAGAGUAUUGUACAUAGUGAUGGAUACACCUAUUUGGAAUGGUACCUGCAGAAGCCAGGCCAGUCUCCGCAGCUCCUCAUCUAUGGGGUUUCCAACCGAUAUUCUGGGGUGCCAGACAGGUUCAGUGGCAGUGGGUCAAGCACAGACUUCACGCUCAAGAUCAGCAGAGUGGAGCCUGAGGAUUUGGGAAUAUAUUACUGCUUCCAAGGUACACAUGUUCCUCACACAGUGAUGUAUACCUUAUCAAAAACAUCCUUGCUGGGAUGGCCCAGCAGCCAAACAUGA